CUUUUAGGGUUGCUCAUGAUGCACAAACUCACCAUGAGGCAACACAGUGAAGAAGAGACUAAGAAGAAAAAGACUAUAGCUCUCGGGUCCAUGGCUGAAGAAGAAGAAGAUUUGGACAAAUCCGACAAUGAAGAUGAAGAUGAAGAGCUUGCACUCAUCACUCAGAAAUUCAAAAGGUUCAUGAAGAAAAGGAGGCAAAGAGCAAGAAGAAGGCCAUUAACCAAAGGGGAGCCA
rnacentral:lncRNA from 1 species